rnacentral:lncRNA from 1 species
CAGAAUUUUCAACACCGCCUUCCUUCCCUGUGGACAAAAUAGAUUUGUCAUCAUGCAUUGAAUUUGAAAGCAAUCAAUUUACAUUUAGUUGCAAAAAUUCAAACAUCAAACAAUGGUAAUCAACAAAACCUGCCUCUAUACCUUAUUCCAACAAUCCUUUUCUCUAAUUUAAUUCUUCUUAUUAUAAGUUUAUAACAAUGUAUCACACUGCAAUUGUGUCCAUUGGUGUUCAGGCGCAUCCGCCUUGCGCAAAUCCUACCCUUCCGCCAGCGACGUCAUACACAACAGCUAGCGAUUUUUGUUGAACAUUACCGAAUAUACCAAUAUCUGAAUCAUCCCCAUUUGGAGCAAAAGCUAAACACACUUGACUAACACCAUUUGCAUAUAGAAUCCCUUGUGGUGCAAUCUCCACAAGUGUAUUCCCACCCCAAAGUACACUUAUCUUUGGUAUUUCAACUGUUUGAUAAUUAGUUAGAUCAUAGCAAGUAUCAAGUAUAGAUAAUGAUCUAGUUAACGGGUACUUCUUCAUUUGCGCUUUAAACGCCUUACUUAGAGCCGAGUAGGCUGUAGGGGGGAGCCUCGUGAUCACGGUUCCCGAGUCAAUGAUAAUACCCGAAGUCUGAAACACUGUAGGACUUAUUGGUAGUUUAGUUCCACCAACGGUUAUAGCCGUAAGAGUAAGACCGUAGAAAGAACGUGAGCUGCCCGAGAGUCGUGUGUACUUAACUUUACGGCCAACUCCACUACUUCCAAAAGUUAGGUAACCGGUAGAGCUUGAGCGUGAGGGGAGACAAUAAGAGAAAACUUUCCUGUACUUGUUAGCGGUUUGUGACACGAUAGAUAGCCUGUCGCGACCGAGUCCUAGUAGCCCAGCAGCACCACCAAAGAGUCCUUGGUUGUUUUGACCACACCCAAAAAAGAAACCAUUAACUACAUCUUUUGAAGUCAAUGUCAGUUUUUCUUUUCCAAAGAAUCCAACUGAGAAAGACUGGUCACCAUACUGAAUACCAUACACGCAUGUUGAUGCGCUGCAACCGGGGUCGUUUCCGGUGGCGGAGGUGAGCUCAGAACACUGGGUUGCCGUGCACGAAAUGUUGGAAUAGGUGGUGGACUUAGAGGGUGCAAAUAUGGGCUCUUUUUGAUCAUAACAUGAUCUAGCACAAGGUUCACACUGGGUCCAGGUUAGGUCGCUCCCCGUGUCGAAAAUGAGUGAGAGUUGUUUGGCCGGGGUGCCUAAUCCGACGGUUACAAUGUAGUUACCGGAUCCGAUUGUGCUACCGGAUUUCGCAGGGAUAGUGGCCUUGGAGCCCAGUAUGUCUUUUUUUCCUGUCUUGGUGGCUAACCUAGCCCUGAUUGAGUCAACUCUUGAUUGGUCAUUGGUCAAGAUUUCUUCCACUGUCAAAGAUUUGACCGUGUCUUCAUUGAGCGUAGAGCAUGGUCCGUGUUUGUGAACCACUUCCACAGAUGGAUUACAAACAGAUGAUGGCAAAAGAGAGGUUAGUUGGAGUGUAUGAUAAUGGUGUGCUUCUUCCCCUUCACUGGUGUUGAAAGCAAAUUCUUGUGUUGCAGUAAUGAAAACAAAGAAAAGAGAGCAACAAGAAAGAAGUAGGAUGAGAGAGUAGGAU